rnacentral:rRNA from 1 species
UACGAAGGGGGCUAGCGUUGCUCGGAAUCACUGGGCGUAAAGCGCACGUGGCGGCUUCUUAAGUCGGUGGUGAAAUCCUGGAGCUCAACUCCAGAACUGCCUUCGAUACUGAGAGGCUUGAGUCCGGGAGAGGUGAGUGGAACUGCGAGUGUAGAGGUGAAAUUCGUAGAUAUUCGCAAGAACACCAGUGGCGAAGGCGGCUCACUGGCCCGGUACUGACGCUGAGGUGCGAAAGCGUGGGGAGCAAACAGG